CGGGACGAGGGCGCGGUCGCGCCCGAGGGCCGAACCCCUCGGGUGAGGAAAGUCCGGGCACCAUAGGGCAGGGUGCCAGGUAACGCCUGGGCGGGGUAACCCGACGGAAAGUGCCACAGAGAAGAGACCGCCAGCGGCCGAGGCCAAGCCUCGGUGCGGGCAAGGGUGAAACGGUGGGGUAAGAGCCCACCGCCUGGCCUGGCAACAGGCCGGGGCACGGCAAACCCCACCCGGUGCAAGGCCCGGUAGAGGGGAAGGGCUUGCCCGGCCCGCCAGAACCCCUGGGAUGGGCCGCUUGAGGCCGGUGGCGACACCGGUCCCAGAGAGAUGACCGCGGAAAACAGAACCCGGCUUACGCCUCGUCCCGGAGG
rnacentral:RNase_P_RNA from 2 species